rnacentral:rRNA from 1 species
UACGUAGGGUGCGAGCGUUAAUCGGAAUUACGGGGCGUAAAGUGUGCGCAGGCGGCUUUGCAAGACAGAUGUGAAAUCCCCGGGCUCAACCUGGGAACUGCAUUUGUGACUGCAAGGCUAGAGUACGGCAGAGGGGGAUGGAAUUCCGCGUGUAGCAGUGAAAUGCGUAGAUAUGCGGAGGAACACCAAUGGCGAAGGCAAUCCCCUGGGCCUGUACUGACGCUCAUGCACGAAAGCGUGGGGAGCAAACAGG